UAAAGCAAGAAAGGGCGUAUGGGGAAUGCCUAGGCACACUCCGGCGAAGAAGGACGCAGCAAACAGCGAAAUGCGACGGUGAGCGGUAAGCACGUGAAGAGCCGUCGAUAUCCGAAUGGGGGAACCCACACGGAGUCAUAUCCGUGUAUCACAUGUCGAAUACAUAGACAUGAUGAGGCGAGACGCAGGGAACUGAAACAUCUAAGUACCUGCAGGAAGAGAAAAUAAGAAUGAUUUUCUGAGUAGCGGCGAGCGAAAGGGAAAGAGCCCAAACCGAUUUUAGGAUCGGGGUAGUAGGAUCAUCGAGGAAUCUGACAGAGGAUCAUAGAGGAAUCACAUGGGAAGGUGAGCGAGAGAGGGUGAGAGCCCCGUACUCGAAAUGAGAGACUGGAGAGAGAUGACACCUGAGUAGGGCGGGACACGAGAAAUCCUGUCUGAAUCAGCCGGGACCAUCCGGCAAGGCUAAAUACGAGAGAGUGACCGAUAGUGAACCAGUACCGUGAGGGAAAGGUGAAAAGAACCCCGGGAGGGGAGUGAAAGAGAACCUGAAACCAUAUGCCUACAAGAAGUCAGAGCCCGUUAAAGGGUGAUGGCGUGCCUUUUGUAGAAUGAACCGGCGAGUUACUGUAUGGAGCGAGGUUAAGCAGGAUAUGCGGAGCCGAAGCGAAAGCGAGUCUUAAGAGGGCGCGAGUUGCAUGCAGUAGACCCGAAACCGGGUGAUCUAGCCAUGACCAGGUUGAAGUUGGGGUAAAACCCGAUGGAGGACCGAACCGACCCCCGUUGAAACGUUGGCGGAUGAGGUGUGGCUAGGGGGGAAAGUCCAAUCGAACCCGGAGAUAGGUGGUUCUCCCCGAAAUAGCUUUAGGGCUAGCGUCGAGAGAAGAGUUGCGUGAAGGUAGAGCACUGAAUAUGUGAUGGCCCCAUCUCGGGGUACUGAGCAUAAUCAAACUGCGAAUGUCACGCCAACAUGCUCGGCAGUCAGACAGCGGGUGAUAAGGUCCGUUGUCAAGAGGGAAACAGCCCAGACCAUCAGCUAAGGUCCCAAAAUGUAUGCUAAGUGGAAAAGGAUGUGGAGAUGUACAGACAACUAGGAGGUUGGCUCAGAAGCAGCCAUCCUUUAAAGAGUGCGUAACAGCUCACUAGUCGAAUGACUCUGCGCCGAUAAUUUACCGGGGCUAAGCAUACUACCGAAGCUAUGGAUCCCAAGGGAUGGUAGGGGAGCGUUCCAUGAACGGAGAAGUACGACCGAAAGGACGUGUGGAGAUCAUGGAAGAGAGAAUGCCGGUGUGAGUAGCGGAACGUGGGUGAGAAUCCCACGCACCGAAAACCCAAGGUUUCCAGAGGAAGGUUCGUCCGCUCUGGGUAAGUCGGGACCUAAGGCGAGGCCGAAAGGCGUAGUCGAUGGACAACAGGUAGAGAUUCCUGUACCCGUAUAUAUGUGAAGGAAUGACGGAGAGAGGAAGCUGCAGCCAGCGGCUGGAAGAGCUGGUGCAAGCGAGAUAUCGGGAUGGCAGGCAAAUCCACCAUCCGAAACGAGAAGGCGUGAAGCGUACGGAAAGCUACGGCGAGUACGGAAGGCAGUGGAGGAACUUCCAAGAAAAGUUUCUAACGUUAAGUAUAUAUGGCCCGUACCGAAAAUGGACACACAUGGGUGAGGAGAGAAUCCUAAGGUGAGCGAGAGAACUAUAGCUAAGGAACUCUGCAAAAUGACUCCGUAACUUAGGGAGAAGGAGUGCUCAUAGAGAUAUGAGCCGCAGUGAAACGGCCCAAGCGACUGUUUACCAAAAACACAGCUCUCUGCUAAGCCGCAAGGCGAAGUAUAGGGGGUGACGCCUGCCCGGUGCUGGAAGGUUAAGGGGAGGGGUUAACGCAAGUGAAGCCCUGAACUGAAGCCCCAGUAAACGGCGGCCGUAACUAUAACGGUCCUACGGUAGCGAAAUUCCUUGUCAGGUAAGU
rnacentral:rRNA from 1 species